rnacentral:rRNA from 1 species
UGGGGAAUUUUGGACAAUGGGCGAAAGCCUGAUCCAGCAAUGCCGCGUGUGUGAAGAAGGCCUUCGGGUUGUAAAGCACUUUUGUCCGGAAAGAAAUCCUUGGCUCUAAUACAGUCGGGGGAUGACGGUACCGGAAGAAUAAGCACCGGCUAACUACGUGCCAGCAGCCGCGGUAAUACGUAGGGUGCAAGCGUUAAUCGGAAUUACUGGGCGUAAAGCGUGCGCAGGCGGUUUGCUAAGACCGAUGUGAAAUCCCCGGGCUCAACCUGGGAACUGCAUUGGUGACUGGCAGGCUAGAGUAUGGCAGAGGGGGGUAGAAUUCCACGUGUAGCAGUGAAAUGCGUAGAGAUGUGGAGGAAUACCGAUGGCGAAGGCAGCCCCCUGGGCCAAUACUGACGCUCAUGCACGAAAGCGUGGGGAGCAAACAGGAUUAGAUACCCUGGUAGUCCACGCCCUAAACGAUGUCAACUAGUUGUUGGGGAUUCAUUUCUUAGUAACGUAGCUAACGCGUGAAGUUGACCGCCUGGGGAGUACGGUCGCAAGAUUAAAACUUAAAUGAAUUGAC